rnacentral:rRNA from 1 species
GAGCGGCAGCGCGGGGGCAACCCUGGCGGCGAGCGGCGAACGGGUGAGUAACACAUCGGAACGUACCCUGUCGUGGGGGAUAGCCCGGCGAAAGCCGGAUUAAUACCGCAUACGACCUGAGGGUGAAAGCGGGGGAUCGCAAGACCUCGCGCGAUAGGAGCGGCCGAUGGCGGAUUAGCUAGUUGGUGAGGUAAAGGCUCACCAAGGCGACGAUCCGUAGCUGGUCUGAGAGGACGACCAGCCACACUGGAACUGAGACACGGUCCAGACUCCUACGGGAGGCAGCAGUGGGGAAUUUUGGACAAUGGGGGCAACCCUGAUCCAGCCAUUCCGCGUGAGUGGAGAAGGCCUUCGGGUUGUAAAGCUCUUUCGGCAGGAACGAAACGGUGGAGGCUAAUACCUUUCAUCAAUGACGGUACCUGAAGAAGAAGCACCGGCUAACUACGUGCCAGCAGCCGCGGUAAUACGUAGGGUGCGAGCGUUAAUCGGAAUUACUGGGCGUAAAGCGUGCGCAGGCGGUUUUAUAAGACAGAUGUGAAAUCCCCGGGCUUAACCUGGGAACUGCGUUUGUGACUGUAGGACUGGAGUGUGGCAGAGGGGGGUGGAAUUCCACGUGUAGCAGUGAAAUGCGUAGAGAUGUGGAGGAACACCGAUGGCGAAGGCAGCCCCCUGGGUUAACACUGACGCUCAUGCACGAAAGCGUGGGGAGCAAACAGGAUUAGAUACCCUGGUAGUCCACGCCCUAAACGAUGCGAACUAGGUGUUGGAGAAGGAGACUUCUUUAGUACCGUAGCUAACG